CAGUAGCCGCGGGAAAACAGAGGGUGCGAGCGUUAAUCGGAUUUACUGGGCGUAAAGCGUGCGUAGGCGGCUUUUUAAGUCGGAUGUGAAAUCCCUGAGCUUAACUUAGGAAUUGCAUUCGAUACUGGGAAGCUAGAGUAUGGGAGAGGAUGGUAGAAUUCCAGGUGUAGCGGUGAAAUGCGUAGAGAUCUGGAGGAAUACCGAUGGCGAAGGCAGCCAUCUGGCCUAAUAUUGACGCUGAGGUACGAAAGCAUGGGGAGCAAACAGGAUUAGAUACCCCCGUAGUCCCUGUCUCUUAUAC
rnacentral:rRNA from 1 species